AGAGUUUGAUCCUGGCUCAGGACGAACGCUGGCGGCGUGCCUAACACAUGCAAGUCGAGCGAUGAAGCCCUUCGGGGUGGAUUAGCGGCGGACGGGUGAGUAACACGUGGGUAACCUGCCUCAAAGAGGGGGAUAGCCUCCCGAAAGGGAGAUUAAUACCGCAUAACAUUGGUUUUUCGCAUGAAGAACCAAUUAAAGGAGUAAUCCGCUUUGAGAUGGACCCGCGGCGCAUUAGCUAGUUGGUGAGGUAACGGCUCACCAAGGCGACGAUGCGUAGCCGACCUGAGAGGGUGAUCGGCCACAUUGGAACUGAGACACGGUCCAGACUCCUACGGGAGGCAGCAGUGGGGAGUAUUGCACAAUGGGCGAAAGCCUGAUGCAGCAACGCCGCGUGAGUGAUGAAGGCCUUCGGGUUGUAAAGCUCUGUCUUUGGGGACGAUAAUGACGGUACCCAAGGAGGAAGCCACGGCUAACUACGUGCCAGCAGCCGCGGUAAUAC
rnacentral:rRNA from 1 species